rnacentral:rRNA from 1 species
AGUGAACGCUGGCGGUAGGCCUAACACAUGCAAGUCGAGCGGCAGCACAGGAGAGCUUGCUCUCUGGGUGGCGAGUGGCGGACGGGUGAGGAAUACAUCGGAAUCUACUCUGUCGGGGGGGAUAACGGAGGGAAACUUACGCUAAUACCGCAUACGACCUACGGGUGAAAGCAGGGGAUCUUCGGACCUUGCGCGAUUGAAUGAGCCGAUGUCGGAUUAGCUAGUUGGCGGGGUAAAGGCCCACCAAGGCGACGAUCCGUAGCUGGUCUGAGAGGAUGAUCAGCCACACUGGAACUGAGACACGGUCCAGACUCCUACGGGAGGCAGCAGUGGGGAAUAUUGGACAAUGGGCGCAAGCCUGAUCCAGCCAUACCGCGUGGGUGAAGAAGGCCUUCGGGUUGUAAAGCCCUUUUGUUGGGAAAGAAAUCCAGCUGGCUAAUACCCGGUUGGGAUGACGGUACCCAAAGAAUAAGCACCGGCUAACUUCGUGCCAGCAGCCGCAGUAA